rnacentral:rRNA from 1 species
GCAAGUCGAACGGUAACAGAGGAAAGCUUGCUUUCUUGCUGACGCGUGGCGGACGGGUGAGUAACGCGAGGGAAUCUACCUAGUAGUGGGGGAUAGCCAGAAGAAAUUCUGAAUAAUACCGCAUACGCCCUACGGGGGAAAGAGGCCCUCUUCUUGAAAGGUCUCACUCUUAGAUGAGCUCGCGUUAGAUUAGCUAGUUGGUGAGGUAAGAGCCCACCAAGGCAACGAUCUAUAGCUGGUCUGAGAGGAUGAUC